CUACGGGUCGCUCCAGCUGAGGAUCUUUUACAAUGCACGAAAGUGUGAUAGAGCGAGCCAGAGUGUUGUUCUUAGAACAACUUUUAUCUGCUGUAAAAAGGCAGAUGAAUAAGGACUGGGCAAGACCGGUGCCAGCCGCCGCGGUAAUACCGGCGGUCCAAGUUGCAUCCAUUUUUAUUGGGUCUAAAACAUCCGUAGCUUGCUUUGUAAGUUUCUUGUGAAAUCUCAUGUCUCAAACAUGAGGCUUGCAAGAAAUACUGCAUAGCUAGAGACCGGAAGACGUAAGGAGUAUGAUUGAGGUAGCGGUAAAAUGUGUUAAUCUUGAUCAGACUAACAACGGCGAAGGCACCUUACGAGUACGGAUCUGACAGUGAGGGAUGAAGGCCAGGGGCGCAAAACGGAUUAGAUACCCGUGUAGUC
rnacentral:rRNA from 1 species